rnacentral:tRNA from 1 species
UCAGUGGUUGCUCAGUGGUAGAACCCUUGUCUUUCAUGUAGGAGACCCGGGUUUAAUUCCAGGCCAAUGUA